ensembl:lncRNA
AUGGCUUUUUGUAAGAGGCAUUAUGAACCUUACCGGUUUAGGAUGGAUCGUGCAAACCAUUAUAUUCAGGAUAAAGAAAAAACAACAAAGUCAUCCAAGAACCUUCCUGGUAAAGACCCUCUUCUCCGCCCUAAGUGCAAACAAACUGACCUUGUAAGGCAACAGCGUGAGGCAAAGAGAGAGAUGCAAAGGAAAGAAGGUGAGGAAAAACUUAAACAAAGUAAAGCUUGUCAGUUAAAAUACAAAGAGAAGCAACAUUUGAAGAAAAAACCACAUCAUGAAGAGAAGUCAAUGAAGCCAGCAUGUCAGCAGAAUGUUGUUACGCAGGUUGAUAAAAAAAGUGAGCAAAAGAAAAAAAAGAUGUCACCCUACAUUAUUACAAUUGAAGAGAUCUGUCAGCUCCCUGAUAAGUACAAUGGCACAACAGGUGAACUUAUAAUGGGACAAGGAGAGGAAACAUUUGAAGAAGAAAGUAAAAAGACAGAGGAACAAGGAAAAGAAAGCGUGGAUGAUGCAAGUGUGAUAAGAAACAUUGACGAGGAGCGUUCAAUGACUGAAGAAGAGUUAGAGAUUCUGGCACGUCACCAGGACUUCAUCAUGCAGAAAGAACUUAAGGAAUUUGAGCAAGAUAAGAGGGUACAAAACAUAAAUCAACAAAUUACUGCACUUAAGCUGCAGAGUGAUUUAGUUGAUCAGAUUUUUGAAAAGGAAAAAAUCCAAGCUGAGAAGAUGGAAGAGAAAGCACGUUUAGAUAAGUUGAAGGGAUGCGACACUGGGAAAGACGGCAGGAUAACUGGUCAACGACACAGACAAAACUGCACUGAAAAUGCUAAGUACAUCAAAACACAGAUAGAAGAGCGCAAAAAGCAGGUGCAAAUAGAAGAAGAUAGGAAAAAGAGUUGUGAAAAGGAGUAUGCAGAAAUGGACCAGGAAUGUAUUCAGUCACACUUAAUGGCUAGGGAGGCCAAAAAGGCUGAAACAAAGUGGAAUGCCCAACAAAACUUACUUCUUACUAGGGAGAAAAAACGGGCGAAAAAGGAAGCAUUAGAGGGAGAAAUACAGGAAUCCCUUCAAAUCAAAGAUUGGAUCAAUAAGAAAGAUUCUCAACAGGCAGAAAUUGCUGCUAAAAAACAAAAGCUCAAGCAGCUACGACAGAUACCUGUUGAUUUGGUGUCAGAUCAACUUAAAAGAAUAAAUAAGAACAUGAAACAGGACCAUGAAGCGGAAUUUAAACGACUUAAACGAAUCAAAGACGAUGAGUGGAAAAGAAAGCAAAAAGUGUUGGCUGAGAAUAAAGCAAAUAAGAUCAAGUCGUUGCAGAAAGGUUUGGCACAGCAGUUGGAAACAAAGGCUCAAUGCAGGGUCACAGAACUUGCUCAUCAGCGAAAACAGCAAGAAAAUGAUGUCAAAGAACUUCAGGCCCACCUUGCCAAACAGAAACAGGAAGAUGAGAAGCGUCGACAGGAUUUGCUGACUCACAAAGAACUCCUGAAAAAGCAGGUGAAACAACAAGAGUCUUUGAAAAAACAAAAACUUAAUGAGGAAUUAAAUAAUGAAAAGAAACUUCUCAAUCGCCAAAAGUUAAAAUCCAAUCGGAUCGACGAAUACAUAGCGGACAAAAAUAAGGAAUAUGUAGAAAUCCGCAAUCAAGAAAACCUGUUACGUUUUCGAACCGGCAGCCACUAUCACCCUAGUUUAGCUAAUAAACCUGGGGAAAACAAAUCUGAUGGCAAAGUAGUUCUCCCCCCGAUUGGACCAAUAAGACAACAAAAGAAAAGACUAGUCCUUCCCACCACCCCCGAUCGUCUUCCAACACAGUCUUUCCUUCCACCUAUUGCUCCCAAAAAAGGGAAACAAACCACCAACUACGCCUAUUACCAGCAAGUUACAAUAGGUAAGAGGAACACGGCUAGUCCCAGUAGCUCCCAACUCUAA